GGCUGGAUAGCUUAGAUGGUAGAGCACUGGUAGAGUGGUCCAGAGGUCGCAGGUUCAAAUCCCGCUCCAGUCA
rnacentral:tRNA from 1 species